rnacentral:lncRNA from 1 species
AGUUAAUGUGCUAUCAUCAUUGAUAACCCUUAGGAGGGACAACAAGGGCUUCUCAAUAGUGUGCUUCUCUUCAUCAAGCUGGAGGAAGGGGUCUUCACCAUUACUUAGAGUACGUAAUUCAACCACUAGUUAAAAGUAAUGGUGUCCUCAGAUCUUAGAUCUGAAUCAUCUUCUUUAAAUGGUUCUUUAAUUCAUGGCCAAAGAAUGUCUUUCCAUAUACUCUCAGAGAGAUAGUCCUUCUUUGAGAGAAAGAUAUAAAAUUUAAUUCUAGGUCUUCUUUAACUCUGAAACUAUGUUGCCUGAAGCAACUCAUGUGCUGCCAUCAGAUUUUAUUAGGUGGGCUAAAGCAGAUUCAGAAGGAGAUUUCCUUACAUAAUGGCUGUCCCCAUGGAACCUUCAGGUAGUCAGUUAAAACUGUCUAAUGAAGAAUUUUCAAGAUCCAUAAGUACAGGAAAAAUCUUGAUGGUCUCUCUCCCUUACUGAUUCAUUGAUAGUUCUCAAACAUUGGGCUGGCACAACGAGAGUAAAAUAGUACAUUUCGCACAGUGUAAAGUGGUGGGUGUGGAUGUUUUCGGAGCCAGUCAGUCUCUGGCAGCUGACUGAGUCACACUCCUGCUUUGUUGCCCACUUACAUCUUCAGAGAGCAGCCUGGGUGGGGAUACUCAUCAAAAUGUGCUCAUUUAAGGACAAACCCAUUUGAACAUUACAACAUUUGGCAAACUUCCUCUACCGAAUGGUGAACCUGGCCCACUGCCUCUGAGAUGCUUCCGUUGCUUGGCUGGGAAACAUAGACCCUUUAACGUCCUUCAUGUGGUAGAACACAUUCAAGACCUUCCAACUAAACACCUGUCUAAGAGCCCUGAGUGUUUUACCUGUUCCUCAAACAUUAUCAAGAUCUUGGCCUGGACCAGUGGGUUACGGAUGUGCAGUGAGUCCUUUUGCAAUAUACAACUAUUUUUAAUCAUGACUGGAGAAUCCCGACGUCUUACUGAGUUCUAGUGGUCACAUGUUUCAUCAAGAAGUCAGCAAACAUCUACUGAACAAGUUCAAUGUGGAGAAUUCUGUACCAUACUUAAGGAAAUGCUCCCACUCCCUUAAGAUGUUUAUAAUCUUAUUGAGAAUGAGGGAACAACAAAAACCAUAGAGGCAAAACUGUGUGACUGCAAAACUGCUUCUAGAUCAACACAAAACAUUUAUGCAUUUAAAUGAGGCCAGCGAACAAGAUGGCUUUCGGUUACAGCAGGUUUAAAUUUCCACUCAGAUCCGUCGUGAUCGAAAACUAUGGUUCUCUCGAAGGGAUGCAUGUAUAUGGGAAUAUUCUGUGCCACACUCAGAUUUUGGCCUUAUGGCCACGGUAUCGAACUAUUAUCAAUUAUAUUGUGAAUUCCUGCUUCUUUGAUGGGGAGAGGAGAGAGGAAAAUCCACACUUAUUUUGCACAAAGCACUGUGCAGGAAUCCAAUGGCUGUGGCCUCCAUUCAUUCUUCAAUUCAGGGGCGAUGGAAACCUGGUCAGUCGACCUGCAGUAUUGACUCUUACAUCAUCUCACUUCUCUCAUACAACCGAUAUAUAAGCAACUGAAGAGCCCUGGGGGGAUCAGUUAGUUUCUGAACUGAGUUCAUCUACAAGUGAACCAAAAGGAACUCGAGUUUUAAAAACGUGGCUGUGUCACUUCUUAAACAUUCAUAUAAAGCAAAAGGAGCACAAAAAAUGGAUGUAGGAAUCUCAUUUCUUCAUAAUUAUUAAGACCUGAAAACUACUUUGAAGAAAACUGGUCAUGGAUAAGAAAAUAACUUCAUCACAGUGGUUAAAGAAAAUCACCCAAAGAAAUAAACAAACAUAUGAAAGCCUUUUAAUAUACCAAGGUAUUACUAUAUUUAUUUCUGACCUUUGGCUACUGAGAAAA